rnacentral:rRNA from 3 species
ACGGGAGGCAGCAGUGGGGAAUAUUGCACAAUGGGGGAAACCCUGAUGCAGCAACGCCGCGUGAGUGAUGACGGCCUUCGGGUUGUAAAGCUCUGUCUUCAGGGACGAUAAUGACGGUACCUGAGGAGGAAGCCACGGCUAACUACGUGCCAGCAGCCGCGGUAAUACGUAGGUGGCGAGCGUUGUCCGGAUUUACUGGGCGUAAAGGGAGCGUAGGCGGACUUUUAAGUGAGAUGUGAAAUACCCGGGCUCAACUUGGGUGCUGCAUUUCAAACUGGAAGUCUAGAGUGCAGGAGAGGAGAAUGGAAUUCCUAGUGUAGCGGUGAAAUGCGUAGAGAUUAGGAAGAACACCAGUGGCGAAGGCGAUUCUCUGGACUGUAACUGACGCUGAGGCUCGAAAGCGUGGGGAGCAAACAGGAUUAGAUACCCUGGUA